rnacentral:lncRNA from 1 species
UCCUAUGUGACGUGGUUUUAAGUUAACCGGGCUUUAUUUUGUAACUCUACCUUAUCGCAUCUAAAACAAAAAUAACUCAGAAGACAUAUUCGAUGAUUGUAAAGCUCUCUUCCACUACUAUUGUAUUUAUACAUUGGUGAUUCUUGUUGUUCCUUCGAUUCUUCCCAACAUACUGAAUCAUGAAGAUUCAUCAUAUUUCCAUUCGAGGUUAUUUUAUCAUCCUAUUUAUCUUAAUUUUUUCUUAUUAAUCAAGUGAUAAUGUAAGGAGUUUUUCGAUUUUAUCUUUUUUAAUUUGUUCUAGUUGCACAUUAGAUGAAAUUAAAUUAGAUUGAUUCUAAUUUUUUUUACUAAUUUCAUUACAUUAAGAUGUUUGAUCGAUAACAGGUUUAUUUCUAUGAUGAUAUUUCUAUAUAUUCAUCUUAAUUCAGAAUGUACACUAGGUGUUUGAUUAAAUGUCUUAGUGAACUUUUGUGCUAAUAUGGCAUAAAAGCAUAGUCUGUUAUCUAAAAUGGGUAUCAGAUGUCUAAUAAGUUCAUUUGGUGUCAUGUUGAAUCCACUGUAACUGUGGUAUAAGAGGUGACUCAUCGCCUAAAUACAUUAUUAUAAAGCUUGCUUUUCCUUUAGUACAUUGAUGUCCUCAUCUUUCUUGCAACUUGAAUUAAAAAAUUUAUGAAUGAUAACAUAUAUUCAAAGAUCACCAGUUAUAAAUGAAGACCAAUACUACUAAUUAGUCCUUACAGAAUUGCCACCUUAUCGGUCAAAAUCUUGAUCACGAACAUGGGUGUUUUCAUUUCCACCUCAAAUAUUCCAUCGCCAAAAUUGGAUGAUUCCAUCAUAGAAAUAUCAAGAGGUUCCAUACUUAUUCAUUCUUUGAUAUUUAAAAUUACUUUACAAUUAAGUUAUAAAAUAUUUCACUUGUGUAAUGCAGUAUUGGAUAGAUUUUCAAGAAAUAUACCUUCGGAAAACUCCUAUUGGCCUUCAAAAGCAUACCAGCAAAUCAAAAUUGAGAGGAAGUUUUAUACAUGACAGAACCAGAAAAAUGGUUACCAAAUGCAGUUUAUACAUGAGUUCAAGUAAAGUAACAAAGUUUUACAAAUUUGUUUUACUCCCUCGUAUCAGAUCAGAUAUACGCAAGAACAAGAAGCUUUAAUGAAUGGCCAAAAUGUGAAGAGAUGUUGUAAUUUUAUCAGCAGUCGAACCGAGGUUGAAUUCGAUUUUUUGGGACAGGGGCAAAAUCGUCCAAUAAGAGGAAAACCCCCAUCAAACUUAUGUGUAGAUUAACCCAACAGUAACCAAGACAUUACAUAUUGCAGUUUAACAUGUUUUAACACAUCAUCUCGUUACAAUAUCUUGAAUUGGGUUUCUUUGCUCGAGAUUUGGUGAGAAUACUUGAAGAAUUCAAAGAAUUGUAAAAACUCAAAAAAAAAAAAAAAACUUUGGGUUGUUGUAUAGUAACUAAACCAUGUAUAUGUUGACAAAAAGUGUGUCAUACUUACUUUUAUAAGCAGAAAUAGCAACCCACUUUUCAUUUUAUAUUUGAAAUAUCAUUUUAUGAGUACACACAUAAUACUUUCGUUUUAAUAACAAAGUAGCAUCAUACUUUCAUUUUAAUAAAAAAUAGCAUCAUAUUUUCGUUUUAAUGAAACUAUGUUGCCAUUAUUGGUUAAUCUUUGUUAGAUUGUCAUUGUCUUGAUUGAUGUGUCCCGGAACCUGAAUAUAAAUUUGGUAAUAAACCAAUAAUGGUAUUUUAAAGUAUUUAACAAAGCUAACCACGAAUCACGAAUGACAAUUGAGCUAAAUUGCAACAUAAUACUCAUAUUUUGUUUUUUGUUAUUCAACAUUUAAUAGCAUUUUAAUAUCAUAAAAAAAUUGUCAUACAAUCUAAUCCAUUCAUUUUGGUAACUAUAACAUCCCAAUCAUAAAUGAAGUACAUCUAAAAAAACCUUUUACAAAAAAUAAUUACAUUAGAUAAUAAAUUCUAUCGAUCCUAAGCCACCUCCCUAAAGGCAUCUAAAACCCUUCCAGCUGUAGAACUUUUGUUGUCAUUGUAGUAUGUCUUGUUAUAUGCCAAAUGCUAUCUCAUGCAACCAAAAAAGAAGAGUUCUUCAAUGUUGUCCAGAAGCUACAUUAAAAGAAUACAAAUAAAAUUUAAAAAAUAUAUAUAUUUAACAAGAUGACCCAAAAUCAUUAAAAAUUUUGAAAAAAUAUUAGAUAAUAACUUAACUGGUUAAUUAACGAGUAGGGCAUGCCAUCAUAAAUCAGUUCAAAUAUGUAACAAUAAAGAAACAUCAAAAUCAUGACAAUAGUUGGUAAUAACCCCACCAAAAAUCACAAAAUAUUUAUGCAAAAUUAGUAAGAAAUUAAGGGUCAUAAAAGCUUAAUAUUUAUCUUCUUGGGAAAUAAAGCAAACAUCUUUGCAGCGAAUUUUUCCAAGCUAUCAUAUGUCUUUCUUGUUAUAUCCACAUCAUGAAUUUGCAUGAAUGGAGACAUGUCAAUUGACACCACUUGGACGCCAUUAAAUAUGGAGAAAUUUGUUAGUUCCACCUUCGAGCAACACCCAAAUGACCUUCUUUUACCCAUAUCGAUUCCAACUAAUGGAAAAGAUUGCUUCUUUAUCUCACACUGUUGUUGUAGUUUCCUCAUAUUUUCUUGAUUUCCUGGCAUUAUGCCGAACACCUCGUGGGUGGAAGUUAACCUUUCACAAUUCCCCUGUAUCCACACACCAAUUUCACCCAAAUUAAACCUAGUGAUAUUGAUAUUGAUUGACAUAAAAGAAUGUAGAGAUACCGAUCAUCGUAAGUUUUCAAGGAAUUCAUGAAAAUUUAUUCAACAUAAGCUAAUUUGAUCAACUUAUUGUUUGAUUUUAGGAAAAAUAAUGGGUGUUCCAAAAUUAAUUCGAG